GAGCAAAUACUCAAAAAGACCGUCCCACGUUCGGAUUGCAGGCUGCAACCCGCCUGCAUGAAGUUGGAAUCGCUAGUAAUCGCGGAUCAGCAUGCCGCGGUGAAUACGUUCCCGGGCCUUGUACACACCGCCCGUCACACCAUGGGAGCCGGUAAUAUCCGAAGUCAGUAGUUUAACCCUUGUGGAGGACGCUGCCGAAGGUAGGAUUGGCGACUGGGGUGAAGUCGUAACAAGGUAUC
rnacentral:rRNA from 1 species